rnacentral:rRNA from 1 species
AACGUAGGACGCAAGCGUUAUCCGGAAUCACUGGGCGUAAAGCGUCUGCAGGUGGUUUCCUAAGUCCACUGUUAAACCUUGAGGCUCAACCUCAAAUCUGCAUUGGAAACUAGGAGACUUGAGUAUAGUAGGGGUAGAGGGAAUUUCCAGUGGAGCGGUGAAAUGCGUAGAUAUUGGAAAGAACACCGAUGGCGAAGGCACUCUACUGGGCUAUUACUGACACUCAGAGACGAAAGCUAGGGGAGCAAAUGGG